AGAGUUUGAUCCUGGCUCAGGAUGAACGCUGGCGGCGUGCCUAAUACAUGCAAGUCGAGCGAACGGACGAGAAGCUUGCUUCUCUGAUGUUAGCGGCGGACGGGUGAGUAACACGUGGAUAACCUACCUAUAAGACUGGGAUAACUUCGGGAAACCGGAGCUAAUACCGGAUAAUAUUUUGAACCGCAUGGUUCAAAAGUGAAAGACGGUCUUGCUGUCACUUAUAGAUGGAUCCGCGCUGCAUUAGCUAGUUGGUAAGGUAACGGCUUACCAAGGCAACGAUGCAUAGCCGACCUGAGAGGGUGAUCGGCCACACUGGAACUGAGACACGGUCCAGACUCCUACGGGAGGCAGCAGUAGGGAAUCUUCCGCAAUGGGCGAAAGCCUGACGGAGCAACGCCGCGUGAGUGAUGAAGGUCUUCGGAUCGUAAAACUCUGUUAUUAGGGAAGAACAAAUGUGUAAGUAACUAUGCACGUCUUGACGGUACCUAAUCAGAAAGCCACGGCUAACUACGUGCCAGCAGCCGCGGUAAUACGUAGGUGGCAAGCGUUAUCCGGAAUUAUUGGGCGUAAAGCGCGCGUAGGCGGUUUUUUAAGUCUGAUGUGAAAGCCCACGGCUCAACCGUGGAGGGUCAUUGGAAACUGGAAAACUUGAGUGCAGAAGAGGAAAGUGGAAUUCCAUGUGUAGCGGUGAAAUGCGCAGAGAUAUGGAGGAACACCAGUGGCGAAGGCGACUUUCUGGUCUGUAACUGACGCUGAUGUGCGAAAGCGUGGGGAUCAAACAGGAUUAGAUACCCUGGUAGUCCACGCCGUAAACGAUGAGUGCUAAGUGUUAGGGGGUUUCCGCCCCUUAGUGCUGCAGCUAACGCAUUAAGCACUCCGCCUGGGGAGUACGACCGCAAGGUUGAAACUCAAAGGAAUUGACGGGGGCCCG
rnacentral:rRNA from 1 species